GACGAACGCUGGCGGCGUGCCUAAUACAUGCAAGUCGAGCGGAUUGAUGGGAGCUUGCUCCCUGAUAUCAGCGGCGGACGGGUGAGUAAAACGAGGGCAACCUGCCUAUAAGACUGGAAUAACUUCGGGAAACCGGAGCUAAUACGGGAUAAUCCCUUUCCUCCCAUGAGGAAAGGCUGAAAGAUGGUUUACGCUAUCACUUAUAGUUGGGCUCGCGGCGCAUUAGCUAGUUGGUGAGGUAACGGCUCACCAAGGCAACGAUGCGUAGCCGACCUGAGAGGGUGAUCGGCCACACUGGGACUGAGACACGGCCCAGACUCCUACGGGAGGCAGCAGUAGGGAAUCUUCCGCAAUGGACGAAAGUCUGACGGAGCAACGCCGCGUGAGUGAUGAAGGUUUUCGGAUCGUAAAACUCUGUUGUUAGGGAAGAACAAGUACGAGAGUAACUGCUCGUACCUUGACGGUACCUAACCAGAAAGCCACGGCUAACUACGUGCCAGCCGCCGCAGUAA
rnacentral:rRNA from 1 species